GACGAACCGUGCGAACGUUGUUCGGAAUCACUGGGCUUAAAGGGCGCGUAGGCGGCCUGCCAAGUCAGGAGUGAAAUCUUUCGGCUCAACCGGAAAAGUGCUCUUGAUACUGGCGGGCUAGAGGGAGAUAGGGGCAUGUGGAACUUCCGGUGGAGCGGUGAAAUGCGUUGAUAUCGGAAGGAACGCCGGUGGCGAAAGCGACGUGCUGGACCUCUUCUGACGCUGAGGCGCGAAAGCCAGGGGAGCGAACGGG
rnacentral:rRNA from 1 species